UGGGGAAUAUUGCACAAUGGGCGCAAGCCUGAUGCAGCAAUGCCGCGUGAGUGAAGACGGCCUUAGGGUUGUAAAACUCUUUCGCUAGGGAAGAUAAUGACGGUACCUAGUAAAGAAGUCCCGGCUAACUCCGUGCCAGCAGCCGCGGUAAUACGGAGGGGACUAGCGUUGUUCGGAAUUACUGGGCGUAAAGAGUUCGUAGGCGGACUAGCAAGUUAGAGGUGAAAUCCCAGGGCUCAACCUUGGAACUGCCUUUAAAACUGCUAGUCUAGAGACCGGAAGAGGUUAGGGGAAUACCUAGUGUAGAGGUGAAAUUCGUAGAUAUUAGGUGGAACACCAGUGGCGAAGGCGCCUAACUGGUCCGGUACUGACGCUGAGGAACGAAAGCGUGGGGAGCAAACAGGAUUAGAUACCCUGGUAGUCCACGCCGUAAACGAUGAGUGCUAGGUGUGGGGAUCGUUUCCACGAUCUCCGUGCCGUAGCUAACGCAUUAAGGCGCCCCGCCUGGGGAGUACGGCCGCAAGGCUAAAACUCAAAUGAA
rnacentral:rRNA from 1 species